CUUACUGUUUGUACUUCAGAGAGAGGCUGGAGAUUGGGCUGGAUAUUCCCUUUAAUGCCCUAUUUCAAGUAUUUAAGGGACUCCUCUGGGACUAGGGUCGACCUGCUUCCAGACUGGUUCGGUGGGUCCUGAAAUAAUCAAUAAGGCCCUUGCAGGGACCAGAGUGUCUGCCACAGGUGAGACAGGAGCUGCUUAAUCGAUUCCUGGAUGGGUAUCUCAGGAGAUGGCUUACUCUUGGCUUUCCUGUGCUUUUGGCAUAUGGACUUGAUGCCUUCAGUGCUAUUCCAAACCCCUUUGAUACUGAAGGCGAAAAGUAAUCUACAGUUUGAAGGUCAAUUGAGCGAUCUGGUGCUUUGCUGUCUCUGAGGAGAUUCUUGGAGGUGAGCAGCACAGAGAUGGGGCACGAGUCCAUGAUUGACUCUGUCUUGCACCGAUCUCACCGAUUGAAGUGCUGAGGAAGUUGAGACAUCGAGGCGAGUGCGGAAGGUGAGCGAGUAUUCUGCACUGCCUACCAGCCUCUUGCUCACUGCUGCUGGAGGGUGUCUAUGUGUGAUGGUCUCCUGCUCGCUGCUUCCGAGGGAUGGCCCUGCGUUCAAGUGGUCUCUCUCUCACUCAAAGCUGUCAGAUGAUGACACUGAAGUUCUGGGUCUGCAAUUUAUGGAUUGGUCUCUUUCAGUUUUAUGUUUUUAUAUUCUUUGUUUUCGCCCGUUUUUCUUGUUGCCACUUGCACAGUUCAUUUGCUUUUCUGUGUGCGGGGUUGGGGGGGGGGAGUUGCAGUUUGAUGUUUUUGUUUCCGUUUGCAUGAUUUUUUGUGCAUGGGGGGGUUUGAUGUUCUUGUUGCUGUUGGCACGAUUUAUUUUUUGUGCAACUUUACACGGCUAUCAGCAGAGCACAGGUAAUUUCUAAUCAGCCAUCAUUCACUGUACAAUUUUUUACCUCAGCUCAUUAUUACUAAAUAUCGGACAGAAUGUAAACUGUUGGCAGAUGCACAACACCAUUAUGGGUCUAACACAGGUCAAAUUUUACCAGAAAUGACUGUUCCUCUCAAGUGAGUUACUGUCAGCAUUAAUUACUGACAUUUGAACUCUUAAAUGAUAUUAUGUAAUCCAGUAAUGAUCCAAGGCAAAUAAAAUGAAGCCUUCUGAUCUUUCCAAA